CCUACGGGAGGCAGCAGUGAGGAAUAUUGGACAAUGGGCGCAAGCCUGAUCCAGCCAUGCCGCGUGCAGGAAGACGGUCCUAUGGAUUGUAAACUGCUUUUAUACAGGAAGAAACACCUCUACGUGUAGAGACUUGACGGUACUGUAUGAAUAAGCAUCGGCUAACUCCGUGCCAGCAGCCGCGGUAAUACGGAGGAUGCAAGCGUUAUCCGGAAUCAUUGGGUUUAAAGGGUCCGUAGGCGGUUUAAUAAGUCAGUGGUGAAAGCCCAUCGCUCAACGAUGGAACGGCCAUUGAUACUGUUAAACUUGAAUUAUUAGGAAGUAACUAGAAUAUGUAGUGUAGCGGUGAAAUGCUUAGAGAUUACAUGGAAUACCAAUUGCGAAGGCAGGUUACUACUAAUAUAUUGACGCUGAUGGACGAAAGCGUGGGGAGCGAACAGGAUUAGAUACCCUGGUAGUCCACGCCGUAAACGAUGGAUACUAGCUGUUCGGAGCAAUCUGAGUGNGUAGAGAAGAGAGUAAGUAUACCACCGUCGGGAGGUACGUUACGUCGAAGAAGUAGAAACGUUAAAAGGUAAAGUUAAGUACGGACGUAGAGACGUAGACCGACGGACGACGACGAGGGGAGGAGG
rnacentral:rRNA from 1 species